GGGUUGUGAGGUUAAGCGACUAAGCGUACACGGUGGAUGCCCUGGCAGUCAGAGGCGAUGAAGGGCGUGCUAAUCUGCGAUAAGCGCCGGUAAGGUGAUAUGAACCGUUAUAACCGGCGAUACCCGAAUGGGGAAACCCAGUGUGAUUCGUCACACUAUCAUUAACUGAAUCCAUAGGUUAAUGAGGCGAACCGGGGGAACUGAAACAUCUAAGUACCCCGAGGAAAAGAAAUCAACCGAGAUUCCCCCAGUAGCGGCGAGCGAACGGGGAGGAGCCCAGAGCCUGAAUCAGCAUGUGUGUUAGUGGAAGCGUCUGGAAAGGCGCGCGAUACAGGGUGACAGCCCCGUACACAAAAGCGCAUGUGCUGUGAGCUCGAUGAGUAGGGCGGGACACGUGGUAUCCUGUCUGAAUAUGGGGGGACCAUCCUCCAAGGCUAAAUACUCCUGACUGACCGAUAGUGAACCAGUACCGUGAGGGAAAGGCGAAAAGAACCCCGGCGAGGGGAGUGAAAAAGAACCUGAAACCGUGUACGUACAAGCAGUGGGAGCACAGGUUUACCUGUGUGACUGCGUACCUUUUGUAUAAUGGGUCAGCGACUUAUAUUCUGUAGCAAGGUUAACCGAAUAGGGGAGCCGGAGGGAAACCGAGUCUUAAUUGGGCGUUAAGUUGCAGGGUAUAGACCCGAAACCCGGUGAUCUAGCCAUGGGCAGGUUGAAGGUUGGGUAACACUAACUGGAGGACCGAACCGACUAAUGUUGAAAAAUUAGCGGAUGACCUGUGGCUGGGGGUGAAAGGCCAAUCAAACCGGGAGAUAGCUGGUUCUCCCCGAAAGCUAUUUAGGUAGCGCCUCGUGAAUUCAUCUCCGGGGGUAGAGCACUGUUUCGGCUAGGGGGCCAUCCCGGCUUACCAACCCGAUGCAAACUGCGAAUACCGGAGAAUGUUAUCACGGGAGACACACGGCGGGUGCUAACGUCCGUCGUGAAGAGGGAAACAACCCAGACCGCCAGCUAAGGUCCCAAAGUCAUGGUUAAGUGGGAAACGAUGUGGGAAGGCCCAGACAGCCAGGAUGUUGGCUUAGAAGCAGCCAUCAUUUAAAGAAAGCGUAAUAGCUCACUGGUCGAGUCGGCCUGCGCGGAAGAUGUAACGGGGCUAAACCAUGCA
rnacentral:rRNA from 1 species